rnacentral:rRNA from 1 species
GCCGGAAUUGCUAGUAAUGGCAGGUCAGCAUACUGCCGUGAAUACGUUCCCGGGCCUUGUACACACCGCCCGUCACACCAUGAGAGUUGGGGAUACCCGAAGCCUGUGAGCUAACUUUUAGAGGCAGCAGUCGAAGGUAGAAUCAAUGAUUGGGGUGAAGUCGUAACAAGGUAAC